GACGAACGCUGGCGGCGUGCCUAACACAUGCAAGUCGAACGAAGCAUAGCAAUAUGCUUAGUGGCGGACGGGUGAGUAACGCGUGAACAAUCUGCCCUGUACAAAGGAAUAGCCUCGGGAAACCGGGAUUAAAACCGUAUGACACUUUAGUAUCGCAUGAUAAGAAAGUCAAAUCGAAUAGAGGUAUGGGAUGAGUUCGCGUCUGAUUAGCUGGUUGGCGGGGUAACGGCCCACCAAGGCGACGAUCAGUAGCCGGCCUGAGAGGGUGAACGGCCACACUGGAACUGAGACACGGUCCAGACUCCUACGGGAGGCAGCAGUGGGGAAUAUUGCACAAUGGAGGGAACUCUGAUGCAGCGACGCCGCGUGAGUGAAGAAGGUCUUCGGAUCGUAAAACUCUGUCCUUGGUGAAGAAAGGACGGUAGCCAAGGAGAAGCCCCGGCUAACUACGUGCCAGCAGCCGCGGUAAAACGUAGCGUUG
rnacentral:rRNA from 1 species